rnacentral:rRNA from 1 species
GACGAACGCUGGCGGCGUGCUUAACACAUGCAAGUCGAGCGGAAAGGCUCCUUUGGGGGUACCCGAGCGGCGAACGGGUGAGUAACACGUGAGUAAUCUGCCCUGCACUUUGGGAUAACUGCCGGAAACGGUGGCUAAUACCGGAUAUGACUUCUCGCCGCAUGGUGGGGGGUGGAAAGUUUUUUCGGUGUGGGAUGUGCUCGCGGCCUAUCAGCUUGAUGGUGGGGUAAUGGCCUACCGUGGCUUCGACGGGUAGCCGGCCUGAGAGGGUGGCCGGCCACACUGGGACUGAGACACGGCCCAGACUCCUACGGGAGGCAGCAGUGGGGAAUUUUGGACAAUGGGGGCAACCCUGAUCCAGCCAUGCCGCGUGAGUGAAGAAGGCCUUCGGGUUGUAAAGCUCUUUCGGCCGGGAAGAAAUCGUAUCAGCUAAUACCUGGUGCGGAUGACGGUACCGGCAUAAGAAGCACCGGCUAACUACGUGCCA